rnacentral:rRNA from 1 species
AUUGAACGCUGGCGGCAUGCCUUACACAUGCAAGUCGAACGGCAGCACGGGAGCAAUCCUGGUGGCGAGUGGCGAACGGGUGAGUAAUAUAUCGGAACGUGCCCAGUCGUGGGGGAUAACGUAGCGAAAGCUACGCUAAUACCGCAUACGAUCUAUGGAUGAAAGCGGGGGAUCGCAAGACCUCGCGCGAUUGGAGCGGCCGAUAUCAGAUUAGGUAGUUGGUGAGGUAAAGGCUCACCAAGCCGACGAUCUGUAGCUGGUCUGAGAGGACGACCAGCCACACUGGGACUGAGACACGGCCCAGACUCCUACGGGAGGCAGCAGGGGGGAAUUUUGGACAAUGGGCGCAAGCCUGAUCCAGCAAUGCCGCGUGCAGGAUGAAGGCCUUCGGGUUGUAAACUGCUUUUGUACGGAACGAAACGGCGAGCUCUAAUACAGCUUGCUAAUGACGGUACCGUAAGAAUAAGCACCGGCUAACUACGUGCCAGCCGCCGCAGUAA